CAAUCCCUGACUGACUAAAGUUAGGGGAUUAUAUACCAGGGAAGAAAUGUAACUAUGUGUUGGAAAACAGGAACUAGGAAGGGGUAAGAAAGCAAUCAUGAGGAGGAGGGGUCUGGCAUCUCAUUGUCUAGAUGUGGUGAUCUGGUUAGUUUUAGUUCUUCGAUACUUUUUGAGAGGUCUGAGGGUUGUUUCCUGCUGAAGGAACUCUGAUAAAACAAAUCAGGAGGCUGAUGCCUACAGACUACAUUCCCUGGAUGCCCCUUCUGGAAUGCUGGACGUUUGAGGAGCGAGGAAGGAGAGAGAGAGAAUCCAACCUGAUAUCUUUGCUUGUAACUGAAUCUCCAAAGGACUGUAGCUCCUGCAGGGUGAUCUCUCUCCAAGAUCAAGCUCUCAGUGUGCUCUGUGUUUCUCCUCUUGUCCCUUCAAGCCCAGGAGUGGGUAACUGAUUGUUGUUGCUAGUUUCUUGAUGCCUCUAAAUCAUUUAUAUGUUUCCUUAACUCUCCCUUAACUUUGUAAUGAUUUUUUGUAUUAAAUUCUCUUUAUUUAAACCAUCUAAUUCAAUUUGAAUAUUGCCUAAUACAAAUAAAUCUCAAGCAGAUUAAAAUUUUUAUUUUCUAUAUUUAAUGACAUAAAGAAGGGACUUUCUCAGCAAUAUUUAGUGACAGGUCAUAACCAUCAUUCUUGCAUUAAUUCUUAAUUAAAUCUGAGUUCCUUAUGCAUCUGUGUAAAUAUAGAAUCUGCUCUCAGAAACUCAAUUGCACGCUUACUAAGCAUUACUUACUUACUCACUCAGGAUCUUUUGUUUCAGCCCAGGUAGCUUAGUUCAUUUUAUCCUUUCUCUUUUUUAUGUAUUUUUUGGUUUUAAGAUUCUAUUUUUGGUUCACUUUUGGGCCAGAUAUUUCCCCCAUUUUUUCCUGUCACCAAUAGCAGCUCUUUCUCAAAUGGACUGGAGAAAUACAUUCUGUAUUAUAUAUCUAUAUACAUCAUUAGAUUACUCCUUGUUAAUCUACAAGGUUUUGUGGUUAUUAUUUUAUUAGGUUUUCAUUUUUAUUUAUUUGCAUAUAAACGCUUUAGAAUUUUCCACACAAGAUCUGUGGACCCCAAAGAGGCUGAAUAUUACUUCUGAUAAUGUUAUGUUUGUGUUUUAAUUUUUGAACAUUUUGUAUUUUUAUGUUUGCACAGGCACAUUCCAGAUCAUUUGAAUAAGCCAGUUAUAGCCAGGCACUGCCACAGAUUUCAGCACUUACUUCAUUGUUGCAUGAGUACAAUAACCCUAAGGACAUAAUUCCUAAUUUUAUGUUUGUGUGUAAUAAAAUAACAUCAUAGAAACAUUUAAUCAAUGUUGAAGGUCCAUGAGAAAUGGCAUUUUCAAUGUUCUGUACAAUUUUAAGUGUCUUGGGAAGGAUAAUGCCCUCAAAGUUUCUAGUUAAUAUCCAAUAAGGCUCUGCAUAAUAAAUAAAUGAAGUAUUGAACAUGUACACAAGUGAAUGACGUGUUUUUAUAUUGCUUUUUAG
rnacentral:lncRNA from 10 species